CAGGCAUUAUCCACGACGCCAUGUUGCUUCUUGCUGCUGAUUCCCCUAUUCGAAGUCCUCCUCCAAUCCCACCUCCCCCCGGAAGCCUUCCCAGAUUAAUUCUCAACCCCUGAUGACGUCAACCUCUCGCUCUCCUGCGGCGCUUCGGUCUUCCCGUCUUCGACCCUUCCAUAUCUGUAUGCCUAUUUGACGUAGAUUGUGUGAUGACAUCUCGAUAAACGUCAGCCGCUUCGCUCUA